ensembl:lncRNA MIR7515HG MIR7515 host gene
AAAACUUUUAAGAGGUGUUUUAAACGUCGUAUGGGCCAAAGAGAAGCUGGAUUUCCUAUUGGAGUCACCUGUAACACACGUGUGACGAAAUUGGCCUGUGAGGACAAGGCAGUGAGCAGAGAGGACAGCAGUCCUUAUGAGAUCAAGCUCUAAGGUAUCCUAGACACAUUUGGAGAAUUCACCUGAGCUACAGGAUGUGAUGGGAACACUGAGGUUCAGAAAGAUAUGUAAUAUAUUCGUUGGCAAACUACUAUUACAGAUUGUUAGGGGCACAGUUGAGCUUCUGGAGGCGGAGACCAGGGUCCGCGAGUUGCUUCCCUGCAUAUUAGUUACAGAUUGGUCAAGUUUUGAGAAGAAUGCGAAGAAGAAAGGAAGAGUGAGCCUCUCUUUCCCAUCGUUACCCUCCAUUGUCCUCUUGACACCCUGCUUUCACAGAGAAAGAGUUUGAGACCCUCUCCCAGGAGCCAAGGAGAGGGGAACAGCUGGCUUCACAUCAUCUUUCUAUUCAACAAGAUACAAAAAGCUGAAGCCAGGAUGAUAGAAAAGCAACAAAGAAGACACGGUCCUUACUCAUUUCCCUUCCCACUUCAGAGCAAAUAUGGUGCCUGGUGUUCGAAGGGAGAACUUGUGGGCAGAGCAGGAAGCGUGAGUAUGGUUGAAGGAUCAAAUAUUUGGUUCAGGCAUCAGGGAGCC